rnacentral:rRNA from 1 species
UACGAAGGGGGCUAGCGUUGCUCGGAAUUACUGGGCGUAAAGGGCGCGUAGGCGGAUAGUUUAGUCAGAGGUGAAAGCCCAGGCUCAACCUUGGAAUUGCCUUUGAUACUGGCUGAUCGUUGAGUUCGGGAGAGGUGAGUGGAAUGCCGAGUGUAGAGGUGAAAUUCGUAGAUAUUCGGCGGAACACCAGUGGCGAAGCGACUCACUGGCCCGAUACUGACGCUGAGGCGACGAAAGGCGUGGGGAGCAAACAGG